UCGCAAGUAGUCGAACGCGAAAGCCCCUUCGGGGGUGAGUAGAGUGGCGAACGGGUGAGUAACACGUGGGUAACCUGCCCCUCGCAGGGGGAUAACCGGGGGAAACCCCGGCUAAUACCCCGUACGCUUGCCGGGGCGCAUGCUCCGGCAAGGAAAGGUAGCUUCGGCCAUCCGGCGAGGGAGGGGCCCGCGGCCCAUUAGCUAGUUGGUGGGGUAACGGCCCACCAAGGCGACGAUGGGUAGCUGGCCUGAGAGGGUGGUCAGCCACACUGGGACUGAGACACGGCCCAGACUCCUACGGGAGGCAGCAGCCAGGAAUCUUGCGCAAUGGGCGAAAGCCUGACGCAGCAACGCCGCGUGGGCGAUGAAGGCCUUCGGGUCGUAAAGCCCUGUUGUCGGGGACGAAGGGUGAAGGGUUAAUAGCCCCUAGCCUGACGGUACCCGACGAGGAAGCCCCGGCUAACUACGUGCCAGCAGCCGCGGUAAUACGUAGGGGGCGAGCGUUGUCCGGAAUCAUUGGGCGUAAAGAGCGUGUAGGCGGCCCGGUAAGUCUGCUGUGAAAACCCGGGGCUCAACCCCGGACGUGCAGUGGAAACUGCCGGGCUAGAGGGCGGCAGAGGCGAGUGGAACUCCCGGUGUAGCGGUGAAAUGCGCAGAUAUCGGGAGGAACACCAGUAGCGAAGGCGGCUCGCUGGGCCGUUCCUGACGCUGAGACGCGAAAGCUAGGGGAGCGAACAGGAUUAGAUACCCUGGUAGUCCUAGCCGUAAACGAUGGGCACUAGGUGUGGGGGGGAGUCGAAUCCCUCCGUGCCGCAGCCAACGCGUUAAGUGCCCCGCCUGGGGAGUACGGCCGCAAGGCUA
rnacentral:rRNA from 1 species